AAGCUCGUAGUUGAAUUUCGGGAUUGGGAUAUAUCGGUUCAUGGCUUUAGGGACAUGAAUCGGUGUGUGGUCAAUCCCCACCUUCUGGUGAAUCGGGAUGCUCUUGGGUGUUUCGACGAACUAGGACUUUUACUUUGAAAAAAUUAGAGUGUUUAAAGCGGGCAUUUUUGCUUGAAUACAUUAGCAUGGAAUAAUAAAAUAGGACGAUGGUUCUAUUUUGUUGGUUUUAGGACCACGUAAUGAUUAAUAGGGAUAGUUGGG
rnacentral:rRNA from 1 species